rnacentral:rRNA from 2 species
AGCUUGCUCCCUUUGGUUAGCGGCGGACGGGUGAGUAACACGUGGGCAACCUGCCUAUAAGACUGGGAUAACUUCGGGAAACCGGAGCUAAUACCGGAUAAUCCUUUUCCUCUCAUGAGGAAAAGCUGAAAGACGGUUUCGGCUGUCACUUAUAGAUGGGCCCGCGGCGCAUUAGCUAGUUGGUGAGGUAAUGGCUCACCAAGGCGACGAUGCGUAGCCGACCUGAGAGGGUGAUCGGCCACACUGGGACUGAGACACGGCCCAGACUCCUACGGGAGGCAGCAGUAGGGAAUCUUCCGCAAUGGACGAAAGUCUGACGGAGCAACGCCGCGUGAACGAUGAAGGCCUUCGGGUCGUAAAGUUCUGUUGUUAGGGAAGAACAAGUACCGGAGUAACUGCCGGUACCUUGACGGUACCUAACCAGAAAGCCACGGCUAACUACGUGCCAGCAGCCGCGGUAAUACGUAGGUGGCAAGCGUUGUCCGGAAUUAUUGGGCGUAAAGCGCGCGCAGGCGGUUCCUUAAGUCUGAUGUGAAAGCCCCCGGCUCAACCGGGGAGGGUCAUUGGAAACUGGGGAACUUGAGUACUGAAGAGGAAAGCGGAAUUCCACGUGUAGCGGUGAAAUGCGUAGAGAUGUGGAGGAACACCAGUGGCGAA